rnacentral:rRNA from 1 species
GGGUUGUGAGGUUAAGCGACUAAGCGUACACGGUGGAUGCCCUGGCAGUCAGAGGCGAUGAAGGACGUGCUAAUCUGCGAUAAGCGUCGGUAAGGUGAUAUGAACCGUUAUAACCGGCGAUUUCCGAAUGGGGAAACCCAGUGUGAUUCGUCACACUAUCAUUAACUGAAUCCAUAGGUUAAUGAGGCGAACCGGGGGAACUGAAACAUCUAAGUACCCCGAGGAAAAGAAAUCAACCGAGAUUCCCCCAGUAGCGGCGAGCGAACGGGGAGGAGCCCAGAGCCUGAAUCAGUGUGUGUGUUAGUGGAAGCGUCUGGAAAGGCGCGCGAUACAGGGUGACAGCCCCGUACACAAAAAUGCACAUGCUGUGAGCUCGAUGAGUAGGGCGGGACACGUGGUAU